rnacentral:rRNA from 1 species
UUAAGCUACAAAGAGCGUAGGGUGAAUGCCUAGGUACCAAGAGCCGAAGAAGGACGUGACAAGCUGCGAAAAGCCACGGGGAAGAGCAAAUAUCUAGCGAGCCGUGGAUAUCCGAAUGAGGAAACUCACAUAGUGAAAAUAGACUAUGUAUUUAUAUGUAAGUAAAGUAGCAUAUAAAGGGGAACGUGGGGAACUGAAACAUCUUAGUACCCAUAGGAAAAGAAAGUAAAAACGAUUCCUAAAGUAGUGGCGAGCGAAAUAGGAAGAGCCCAAACCAAGAGUAGAAAUACCCUUGGGGUUCGGACUACAAUAAGUUAUCUAUAAUUCUAGUAGAAUUGUCUGGGAAGGCAAACCAUAGAAGGUGAGAGUCCAGUAUAUGAAAGGAAAGUAGAGACUAGUAGAAUCCAGAGUAGUGUGAGACACGAGAAAUCUUGCAUGAAAGAGCGGGGACCAUCCCGUAAGGCUAAAUACUACUUGGUAACCGAUAGAGAUGAGUACCGUGAGGGAAAGGUGAAAAGGACCCCGGGAGGGGAGUGAAAGAGAACCUGAAACCCUAUGUUUACAAGCAGAUAAAGCGAAUUAAGGCGCGAUAUCGUACUUUUUGUAGAACGGUCCAGCGAGUUAUUGUAUAUGGCGAGGUUAAGUUGUAAGUAAGCAACGAAGCCGGAGUGAAAGCGAGUCUGAAGAGGGCGUAAAAGUCAUAUGUAAUAGACCCGAAACCGGGUGACCUAUCCAUGGUCAGGAUGAAGCUAAAGUAAAAUUUAGUGGAGGUCCGAACUGAUUGUCGUUAAAAAGGCACCGGAUGAACUGUGGAUAGCGGAGAAAUUCCAAUCGAACUCGGAGAUAGCUGGUUCUCCUCGAAAUAGCUUUAGGGCUAGCCUUGAGGGAAGAUAUGUGGGGGUAGAGCACUGAAUGAGGUAGGGGCCUAACCAGGUUACUGAACUCUAUCAAACUGCGAAUACCAUGUAUUAAUACUCAGGAGUCAGACUACGGGAGCUAAGUUCCGUGGUCAAAAGGGAAAGAGCCCAGACCGACAAUUAAGGUCCCAAAGAUAUAGUUAAGUGGGAAACGAUGUGAAUUUGCGUAAACAACCAGGAUGUUGGCUCAGAAGCAGCCAUUCAUUCAAAGAGUGCGUAACAGCUCACUGGUCGAGUGAAUUUGCGCGGAAAAUUACCGGGGCUAAACUAUACACCGAAAUUACGGAUUUGUAAAUGAAAAUUUAUAAGUGGUAGAGGAGCAUUCUGUGGUAGGGCGAAGCUAAAGCGAGAGCAUUAGUGGACGAAGCAGAAGAGAGAAUGCUGGAAUAAGUAGCGAGAGCGAGGUGAGAAUCCUUGCCGUCGAAAGUCUAAGGUUUCCUGGGGAAGGUUCGUCCGCCCAGGGUAAGUCGGGACCUAAGGAGAGGCCGAAAGGCGUAUCUGAUGGAUAGCAGGUGGAAAUUCCUGCACUAUAGCCAUACUUAAAAGAUGCAAGGGACGCAGGAGAGGAAGAUAACCGAGGAAGAGGAAAAACUCGGAUCGAAAGAUGGAGUGAAAAUAGAAGUAACGAAGUAUCAAGAAUCACACUGACGAGAAAAGCUUGUAGAGAUUGUAUGGAAAUACCCGUACCGCAAACCGACACAGGUAGAUGAGGAGAGGAUCCUAAGACGAACGGGAGAAGCAUUGUUAAGGAACUCGGCAAAAUAACCCCGUAACUUCGGGAGAAGGGGAGCCUAUGUAAAAGUAGGCCGCAGUGAAAAGGCCCAAGCAACUGUUUAACAAAAACACAGGUUUCUGCUAAAUCGAAAGAUGAAGUAUAGGAGCUGACGCCUGCCCAGUGCUGGAAGGUUAAGGGGAAAUGUUAGGAGCAAUCCGAAGCAUAGAACUGAAGCCCCAGUGAACGGCGGCCGUAACUAUAACGGUCCUAAGGUAGCGAAAUUCCUUGUCAGGUAAGUUCUGACCCGCACGAAAGGCGUAAUGAUUUGGGCACUGUCUCGACAAUGUACCCGGCGAAAUUGUAGUACUAGUGAAGAUGCUAGUUACCUGCGACAAGACAGAAAGACCCCAUGGAGCUUUACUGCAGUUUGAUACUGGGUUUUGAUAAACUAUGUACAGGAUAGGUGGGAGACUAAGAAAGCAAGGCGUCAGCUUUGCUGGAGUCACCGUUGGGAUACCACUCUUAGUUUGUUGAAAUUCUAACUAGUGGUCAUGACCUGGCCAGAGGACAAUGUCAGACGGGCAGUUUGACUGGGGCGGUCGCCUCCAAAAGAGUAACGGAGGCGCCCAAAGGUUUCCUCAGCGCGGACAGAAAUCGCGCGAAAGAGUGUAAAGGCAGAAGGAAGCUUAACUGGAAGACAGACAUGUCGAGCAGAUACGAAAGUAGGGCUUAGUGAUCCGGUGGAAUUGAAUGGAAAAGCCAUCGCUCAACGGACAAAAGUUACCCUGGGGAUAACAGGCUUAUCUCCCCCAAGAGUUCACAUCGACGGGGAGGUUUGGCACCUCGAUGUCGGCUCAUCGCAUCCUGGAGCUGAAGUCGGUUCCAAGGGUUGGGCUGUUCGCCCAUUAAAGCGGUACGCGAGCUGGGUUCAGAACGUCGUGAGACAGUUCGGUCCUUAUCUGUCGCAGGCGCAAGAUAUUUGAAGGGAGCUGUCCUUAGUACGAGAGGACCAGGAUGGACAUAUAGAGGGUGAAUCAGUUGUUACACCAGUAGCAUAGCUGAGAAGCCAAGUAUGGAAGGGAUAAACGCUGAAAGCAUCUAAGUGUGAAGCCCACCCUAAGAUAAGAUAUCUCAUACCGUCAAGGUAGUAAGAUUCCAUGAAGACUACAUGGUAGAUAGGUUGGAGGUGUAAGUAUAGUAAUAUAUUGAGCUAACCAAUACUAAUAAAUCGAGGGCUUAACCAC